rnacentral:lncRNA from 10 species
GGUUGGGAAGUCCAAAGUCGAGUGGCCGUAUCCGGUGAGAGCCCUCCUGCAGCAUCAUCCCAUGACGGAAGGUGUCCCAUGAUAACCAGAAGCAGCAGAGAAAACAUCUGAAGUGCUUCCUGGACACACCUGUUAGGAAGUUUCUGCAAGAACCCAGGUCCUCCUUCCCACCAGACAUGAGGAUUUUAACUUGAUCAUCUCUGCAAAGACCUUAUCUUCAAAUACAGUUACAUUCUGAAGUCCUGGGGGUUAGGGCUGCAACACCCGAAUUGGUGGAGACAAAAUCCAGCUCCUGACAAUACCGCGUAUGAUAGCUGCGUCUCUGCCUGCAGUACUGUUUUCCAGGGAAAGCAUCUUUGAGUGUAUUCAGAAAGCCUCUCUCUGGGGCCAGGCCUUGCAGAGAAUCCUUCAGAAACUGGACAACCCCACCCAAGGCAGUCAGUGGGGAGGACACAUUUGGUGCCUCAUUGGUCCCUGGAUCUGCCUCACAGUCCUCAAUGUUCCUCCUCGUUCCCUCUACUCUUUCUCCUCUUUGGUUGACCUUGAAGCUCAUUCCUGGUGAAGGCCCCGUGGGAGCAGUGCAAUGACAAGAGGAGCCUGUUUUCAAUAGCACCCUCACGCUCUCCAGGGGUCCAUUGGAGGCGCCUAUGACCUCCUGAUGCUGAGGAGCCUAGAGUGGGCAGCCCUCGGGCCCAGGCUCCACCUGGGUGAGGCCUGUUUUAUUAUCAAUACUCACCACAGUCAUUUGUGGGAGUGUAAUGCUCAUAUUCCCAUUUAAGAGAUGAAUAAACUGAGGCAAGGUGAAGUGACUCAGCUGAGGCCACACCACAGUUUAAUGGGGAAGCCAGGAUAAGAGCUGGCGGCUUCUAUGUCUGAUCUACACUCUGAUGGGAGGUCGUCAGAGAGCCAUGUAAACGGUGAGGAGGUGACAUGCUGGUCCCUUCCAUAAAAGCUGUUUUGCAAAAUUAAAACACACACACAGUAAAGAUCCAGAUUUAUGCAAGUGAGAGUGAGGGGCUGACUAUUUACCAGUCAACAGAUCUCCCCAAAUGGUUCUCUGCUUGGGGUUGAGAUGCUCCUGACCAGCAGGGCUUGGGGAGAGACAUUCUUGCUCCCCCUAGAGCUGGCUGACCCAUACCCAGGGGAUUCUGAGCACCAGGGGCUGGGAGCAGCAUGUACCACGUGUUUCCCAAGAGUUAGUCAUGUUUGCUCCUAAAACUUAUUGUAAUCGAGGAAUCUAAUUAAACAAUACACCAACUGAAGAAACAGUGCAAAAAGAAUGAGUGACUGUUUCUAUGAAAACUUAGAUGAACUACUUUGGAAAGAUUCAAUAAAAAGCAUGCCUAAAUACAUAUACUGGGGCCAGGAGCAGUGAUUCACACUUGUAACCCCAGUGCUUUGGGAGGCUGAGGUGGGAGGGUGGCUUGAGGCUAGGAGUUUGAAACCAGCCUAGGCAACAUAGCAAGACCCUGUCUCUACAAAAAAACAAAAAUUUUUCAACUGGUUGUGGCAGCACCUGCCUAUGGUCCCAGCUGCUCUGGAAGCUGAGGUGAGAGGAUCACUCGAGCCCAGGAGUUCAGGCUGCAGUGAGCCGCAAGUGUGCCACUGCACUCCACCCUGGGCAACAGAGCAAGACCCUGUCUCUAAAAAAAUAAAUAAAAUAUGUACAUCCAGAUACAGUAUUAUGUGUGGGCGAGACACCGGUAAAAGAUGGAAACAAUCAUAAAAGUCAGGCAGGAUUCCACCUAAGAUUGUCUUUAGCUCUCAAUCUACCUUGUUUUAAAAUUUUUUUAUGAGCCAUAAAAGACCUAAGACUAGUCUUUAUUGUACAACUUGAUGAAUUCUGAUCCUGUGGCCAUACAGUUCAAAAUAGAGCAUUCUAGCACUCAGAAAGCUCCCUAGUGCCCUCAUCAGUUGGUGCCUGUCAACCCCAAGGAUGUCAUAGUCAUUUGGACACCCCUGGCACAGUCAUUCCACUUAGAGACUCUGCCAGAAGUCCCAGAUCAUAAUCAGGAGUGAAAUUUACACAAGAAGGGGCCGGAAGCCCUAGUGAGUAGUGAACUCAACUCCAAAAUAACCCUACACUAAAAAUAAAACUGGAACGUACUUUUUAUGUUUGAAAUUUAAAUAAGAUAGAUGUAUUUUUGUUAAAUCGUUCCAACCUGUACAACUUUUCUAUUCAUCAGCCAACUAGCCAGAGAAAGGGGGUUUCUGCUGCUGUCAGAGUAUAAAAAUGAGCUGCAAUUUUCAAAAUUUGACCUCAUCUAACUUUCUCCAGCUAUGCCAUUCCUGGAGCAUCCUCAGUCCAGUGCCUGAUGCGUAAAACAUAAUAAAAAGGUGACCCCACCACACCAAACACUGGGGUGUCUGUAGCAGUGACCGCGUCUCACGGGGAUUUUGUCUGAAUGCCUGUUCCUCCACUCGCCUAAUCCAUGGAGGUCAGGGAACCACGCAC